AGAGUUUGAUCCUGGCUCAGGAUGAACGCUGGCGGCGUGCCUAAUACAUGCAAGUCGUACGAGGUUAAUCCAGCUUGCUGGAGAGACCUAGUGGCGAACGGGUGAGUAAUACGUAAGUAACCUGCCUGCAAGGACUGGGAUAACACCUGGAAACGGGCGCUAAUACCGGAUAGGUAACGGAGGGGCAUCCUUCUGUUAUUAAAGGUUAAAAACACAAGCAGAUGGGCUUACGGUGCAUUAGCUAGUUGGUGAGGUAACGGCCCACCAAGGCGAUGAUGCAUAGCCGGCCUGAGAGGGUGAACGGCCACAUUGGGACUGAGACACGGCCCAGACUCCUACGGGAGGCAGCAGUAGGGAAUUUUCGGCAAUGGGCGAAAGCCUGACCGAGCAACGCCGCGUGAGUGAAGAAGAAUUUCGGUUCGUAAAGCUCUGUUGUAAGGGAAGAACAGCACGGAGAGAAUCCGUGUGUGACGGUACCUUACCAGAAAGCCACGGCUAACUACGUGCCAGCAGCCGCGGUAAUACGUAGGUGGCGAGCGUUAUCCGGAUUUAUUGGGCGUAAAGGGUGCGUAGGCGGCCUGUUAAGUUUAAGGUGAAAGCGUGGGGCUUAACCCCAUCGAGCCUUAGAUACUGGCAGGCUAGAGUACUGGAGAGGAAAGUGGAAUUCCAUGUGUAGCGGUAAAAUGCGUAGAUAUAUGGAGGAACACCGGUGGCGAAGGCGGCUUUCUAGACAGUAACUGACGCUGAGGCACGAAAGCGUGGGGAGCAAAUAGGAUUAGAUACCCUAGUAGUCCACGCUGUAAACGAUGAAUGCUAAGUGUUGGGGUAACCCAGUGCUGCAGUUAACGCAAUAAGCAUUCC
rnacentral:rRNA from 1 species